rnacentral:rRNA from 1 species
UACGAAGGGGGCUAGCGUUGCUCGGAAUCACUGGGCGUAAAGGGUGCGUAGGCGGGUCUUUAAGUCAGAGGUGAAAUCCUGGAGCUCAACUCCAGAACUGCCUUCGAUACUGGAAAGCUCGAGUCCGGGAGAGGUGAGUGGAACUGCGAGUGUAGAGGUGAAAUUCGUAGAUAUUCGCAAGAACACCAGUGGCGAAGGCGGCUCACUGGCCCGGUAACUGACGCUGAGGUGCGAAAGCGUGGGGAGCAAACAGG